rnacentral:rRNA from 1 species
GAUGAACGCUGGCGGCGUGCCUAAUACAUGCAAGUCGAGCGAACGGACGAUAAGCUUGCUUUUCUGAUGUUAGCGGCGGCCGGGUGAGUAACACGUGGAUAACCUACCUAUACGACUGGGAUAACUUCGGGAAACCGGAGCUAAUACCGGAUAAUAUUUUGAACCGCAUGGUUCAAAAGUGAAAGACGGUCUUGCUGUCACUUAUAGCUGGAUCCGCGCUGCAUUAGCUAGUUGGUAAGGUAACGGCUUACCAAGGCAACGAUGCAUAGCCGACCUGAGAGGGUGAUCGGCCACACUGGAACUGAGACACGGUCCAGACUCCUACGGGAGGCCGCAGUAGGGAAUCUUCCGCAAUGGGCGAAAGCCUGACGGAGCACCGCCGCGUGAGUGAUGAAGGUCUUCGGAUCGUAAAACUCUGUUAUUAGGGAAGAACAUAUGUGUAAGUAACUGUGCACAUCUUGACGGUACCUAAUCAGAAAGCCACGGCUAACUACGUG